AUGGAGAUACUACCUUUCAUUGGCCAGUGCCAGUCACAAACGGAGCUCUGUUUGGAAAAACCUGAUGACUCAAAGGAUUUUUGCCGACUUUAUCCAUCUCUUAUACUCGGUCAAAGCAUUAAAAAUGAAAGAUUGAACACAGAGCUUGAGGUGAAGCACAGAGGUACACAAAGGCCACAUUUCAACAAUCAAGGAAGCUCAACAUUCAGCUCAUCCAGUGCAAUGGAUGAUCAAGAUUUUAAGGCUUUAGAAUUUUCAGUUUCUCAAACCAAAGAGACUCUCACUACUGCAAAAGGAAAUGGGUAUAACUGUUAUGAGAGUCACAUUACCCAUGAUGAGGAACUGGAGACAGACCUUAAGAAUACCAAGCUGGUUUUGUACCCAAAGGCUCUCAUUGUCUCAUUUCUAAAAGAGUAGGUGUACAGUAGAAAUGAUAGGAUGGAAUAAUGCUUUGGUUGUUCACAGUGAUGUCUACCUCGUGUUCUUCC
ensembl:lncRNA